rnacentral:rRNA from 1 species
UACGUAGGUGGCGAGCGUUGUCCGGAUUUAUUGGGCGUAAAGGGCGCGCAGGUGGUGCGGUAAGACUGCCGUGAAAUCUCCCGGCUCAACUGGGAGGGGGCGGUGGAGACUGCCGGACUAGAGGCACUCAGAGGCCGGUGGAAUUCCCGGUGUAGUGGUGAAAUGCGUAGAGAUCGGGAGGAACACCAGUGGCGAAGGCGGCCGGCUGGGGGUGACCUGACGCUGAGGCGCGAAAGCGUGGGGAGCGAACCGG